rnacentral:rRNA from 1 species
CGGCGCCCACGGCGGGGGGGACACGCGCGGACCCAUCCCGAACCCGCACGCUAAGCCCCCUGGCGCCAAGGGUACUGCCGGGGUAGCCCGGCGGGAGAGUCGGAAGGCGCC